ACACCGGCCCUUUUCAGGGCCACCAAAUGAAUUAUUCGAAGGAUUAU
rfam:Camponotus floridanus CamFlo_1.0_4.contig4157, whole genome shotgun sequence.